rnacentral:rRNA from 1 species
UACAGGGGGUGCAAACGUUGCUCGGAAUUAUUGGGCGUAAAGCGCGCGUAGGCGGCUACUUAAGUCGGAUGUGAAAGCCCCUGGCUCAACUGGGGAAGUGCACCCGAAACUGAGUGGCUUGAGUACGAAAGAGGGUCGCGGAAUUCCCGGUGUAGAGGUGAAAUUCGUAGAUAUCGGGAGGAACACCGGUGGCGAAGGCGGCGACCUGGGUCGACACUGACGCUGAGGCGCGAAAGCGUGGGGAGCAAACAGG